GACGAACGCUGGCGGCGUGCCUAAUACAUGCAAGUCGAGCGAAUGAAUGGGAGCUUGCUCCUGUUCGUUAGCGGCGGACGGGUGAGUAACACGUGGGCAACCUGCCUGUAAGACUGGGAUAACUUCGGGAAACCGGAGCUAAUACCGGAUAGUUUCUUUCUUCACAUGAAGAAGGAUGGAAAGACGGUUUUGCUGUCACUUACAGAUGGGCCCGCGGCGCAUUAGCUAGUUGGUGAGGUAACGGCUCACCAAGGCGACGAUGCGGAGCCGACCUGAGAGGGUGAUCGGCCACACUGGGACUGAGACACGGCCCAGACUCCUACGGGAGGCAGCAGUAGGGAAUCUUCCGCAAUGGACGAAAGUCUGACGGAGCAACGCCGCGUGAGUGAAGAAGGUUUUCGGAUCGUAAAACUCUGUUGUCAGGGAAGAACAAGUACCAGAGUAACUGCUGGUACCUUGACGGUACCUGACCAGAAAGCCACGGCUAACUACGUGCCAGCCGCCGCCGUAAAAC
rnacentral:rRNA from 1 species